rnacentral:rRNA from 1 species
UGCCAGCAGCCGCGGUAAUACGGAGGGGGCUAGCGUUGUUCGGAAUUACUGGGCGUAAAGCGCACGUAGGCGGCGCGACAAGUCAGAGGUGAAAGGCCUGGGCUCAACCUGGGAACUGCCUUUGAAACUGGCGUGCUUGAGUCCGGAAGAGGGUGACGGAAUUCCCAGUGUAGAGGUGAAAUUCGUAGAUAUUGGGAAGAACACCGGUGGCGAAGGCGGUCACCUGGUCCGGUACUGACGCUGAGGUGCGAAAGCGUGGGGAGCAAACAGGAUUAGAUA